rnacentral:tRNA from 1 species
UGCGAUUGUGGUCUAAUGGUCAUGACAGUGGCUUCCCAAGCCACUAAUCCGGGUUCGAUUCCCGGCAAUCGCAA